GGGUCAGUAUCCAAGCCUGGUUGAAGGAAGCCGUCUGUAAAACGGAUGCUCAUUGCCGCGUAGGUUCAAAUCCUACCUGACCUA
rnacentral:tRNA from 1 species